GGAUCUUUCCAGCGUCCUGCUCUGCUGCUAACAGCCUGCCUUUUCAUCUUUCCUCUCCCACGGCUUGCAGUUUGCACAGACCGCAGUUUUUGGCAUCACGUGCAAGCACAAGAACCAGCAGGUGUGGGAGUCUGUGGUGUUCAGCCGUGAGAAGACACGGGCCUGAGAACACCGAGAAGAAAGAACCAGCAGGCGAGGGAGCAUGUGGUGUUCAGCCGUGAGAAGACACGGGCCUGAGAACACCGAGAAGAAAAAAUGGUUUCUUUCUAUUUGUGUUUCUCUCCUGAAGCCUCUCAGCUGGACUGCUCCCUCAUGACUCAUUGGCUGAAGUUGGGCCACACACUCCUGCCCUCAUCAGCAACUGCAAGGGCAGAGCCUUACCAUGUGCCCCAAGGCUGGAGUGUGAGGCCACCACCUCUGCCGCAUGGGCAUCAGGGAACGUCUCUGUGGACCAGGAAAACCGGGUGGGGUCUUGGUGGGCUGCCAGCGGCGCUUCCCACCUGUGCUGUGCUGGCUCCACACGGAGCAGAAGACUUUAGCGCAAACAUCCUGGACUUGGCUACAACUCUGCAAGUUGGGUCAGUUGUAUGUCAACUGUCGGAGAAGAGAAAGCAAAACAAGGUUUCCAUGAGAACACGAAGGAACAGUCAUUUCUGGGAAUCUGUGUGUCCUGUAGACUCUCAGGCGAUUAAUAGACCACAGGCAGGUACAAACACAGACAAAAAUAUGUUGUAA
ensembl:lncRNA